AUACAAAAAUUGGACAUACCGGCUGAUGCGAAGACAGCUCUCUUGAACUUAACACCUCAUACUUAUAUUGGAACAGCUGCAGAUUUGGCUAAGAACAUAAAUGAGGCCAUAAAUCUAGAGAAUGGAGCUUAACACCUCAUACUUAUAUUGGAACAGCUGCAGAUUUGGCUAAGAACAUAAAUGAGGCCAUAAAUCUAGAGAAUGGAGCUCAAAUCUUUUGAAAUGAGAGCCGAGAACGUUCACAGCCCUUUGCAUCGGUGGCGGAUGGAGCAUACAAUCAACAGGUUCUACUGAAUCCAACACUUUCAACAGAGAAUAUAGAUCUUUUGUGAAAAAUCACUAAGAUUUCAAAAGAGUUUGAUUUUUGAACCAUUAGAUUCAAAAGUGUAAUGGGUUCCGCCAUAAGAACUUAAAUGUUGAACCCAUCAAAUUUAAAUUUGGGAUCCGUUUUACGCUGUAUUAUUUCCAUACAUGAGUGGUUAUCGACGUGCUAUACUCAUUGGAGAUAUAUGAAACUUUGUUCUACUUGUAACAUCUUUA
rnacentral:lncRNA from 1 species